AACGAACGCUGGCGGCAGGCUUAACACAUGCAAGUCGAACGGAUCCUUCGGGAUUAGUGGCAGACGGGUGAGUAACGCGUGGGAACGUACCCUUUGCUACGGAAUAACUCAGGGAAGCUUGAGCUAAUACCGUAUGUGCCCUACGGGGGAAAGAUUUAUCGGCAAAGGAUCGGCCCGCGUUGGAUUAGCUAGUUGGUGGGGUAAUGGCCUACCAAGGCGACGAUCCAUAGCUGGUCUGAGAGGAUGAUCAGCCACACUGGGACUGAGACACGGCCCAGACUCCUACGGGAGGCAGCAGUGGGGAAUAUUGGACAAUGGGCGCAAGCCUGAUCCAGCCAUGCCGCGUGAGUGAUGAAGGUCUUAGGAUUGUAAAGCUCUUUCACCGGUGAAGAUAAUGACGGUAGCCGGAGAAGAAGCCCCGGCUAACUUCGUG
rnacentral:rRNA from 1 species